AAUGAACGCUGGCGGCAUGCCUAACACAUGCAAGUCGAACGAAGCUUUCGGGCUUAGUGGCGCACGGGUGCGUAACGCGUGGGAAUCUGCCCUUGGGUUCGGAAUAACAGUUAGAAAUGACUGCUAAUACCGAAUGAUGUCGUAAGACCAAAGAUUUAUCGCCCAGGGAUGAGCCCGCGUAGGAUUAGCUAGUUGGUGUGGUAAAGGCGCACCAAGGCGACGAUCCUUAGCNGGUCUGAGAGGAUGAUCAGCCACACUGGGACUGAGACACGGCCCAGACUCCUACGGGAGGCAGCAGUGGGGAAUAUUGGACAAUGGGCGAAAGCCUGAUCCAGCAAUGCCGCGUGAGUGAUGAAGGCCUUAGGGUUGUAAACCUCUUUCAGGAGGGACGAAGCUACUCGGGUUAAUAGCCUAGAGGGUGACGGUACCUCCAGAAGAA
rnacentral:rRNA from 1 species